ACGCUCGACACCUACGGCAGGCAGCAGUCGGGAAUAUUGCGCAAUGGAGGGAACUCUGACGCAGUGACGCCGCGUAUAGGAAGAAGGUUUUCGGAUUGUAAACUAUUUUAGACAGGGAAGAAUAAAGACAGUACCUGUAGAAUAAGCUCCGGCUAACUACGUGUCAGCAGCCGCGGUAAUCUGAGCGGGCUGGCAAGGC
rnacentral:rRNA from 1 species